ensembl:rRNA 5S_rRNA 5S ribosomal RNA
ACCAGUAGCCAUAUCACCCUGCAACUCACAACUGGCAACCCACUGAAGCUAAGCAGGUGUGAGCCUGGUCAGUACCUAGAAGGGAGACCUCCUGAGAAAAACUAAGGUUGCUGUUGGAA